GCUCAACCGAAGAAGUGCAUCGGAAACUGGGAAACUUGAGUGCAGAAGAGGACAGUGGAACUCCAUGUGUAGCGGUGAAAUGCGUAGAUAUAUGGAAGAACACCAGUGGCGAAGGCGGCUGUCUGGUCUGUAACUGACGCUGAGGCUCGAAAGUAUGGGUAGCAAACAGGAUUAGAUACCCUGGUAGUCCAUACCGUAAACGAUGAAUGCUAAGUGUUGGAGGGUUUCCGCCCUUCAGUGCUGCAGCUAACGCAUUAAGCAUUCCGCCUGGGGAGUACGGCCGCAAGGCUGAAACUCAAAGGAAUUGACGGGGGCCCACACAAGCGGUGGAGCAUGUGGUUUAAUUCGAAGCUACGCGAAGAACCUUACCAGGUCUUGACAUACUAUGCAAAUCUAAGAGAUUAGGCGUUCCCUUCGGGGACAGAAUGACAGGUGGUGCAUGGUUGUCGUCAGCUCGUGUCGUGAGAUGUUGGGUUAAGUCCCGCAACGAGCGCAACCCUUAUUGUUAGUUGCCAGCAUUCAGUUGGGCACUCUAGCAAGACUGCCGGUGACAAACCGGAGGAAGGUGGGGAUGACGUCAAAUCAUCAUGCCCCUUAUGACCUGGGCUACACACGUGCUACAAUGGACGGUACAACG
rnacentral:rRNA from 1 species